CCCGAGUCGAGCGGCGAACGGGUGAGUAACACGUGGAUAACCUGCCCAGAGGUGGGGGAUAACCCGGGGAAACUCGGGCUAAUACCGCAUGAUACCGAGAGGUCAAAGGGGGCUCGCAAGGGCUCUCGCCAUUGGAGGGGUCCGCGUCCGAUUAGCUAGUUGGUAGGGUAACGGCCUACCAAGGCGACGAUCGGUAGCCGGCCUGAGAGGGUGAUCGGCCACACUGGAACUGAGACACGGUCCAG
rnacentral:rRNA from 1 species